rnacentral:RNase_P_RNA from 2 species
GGAGUCGCCUGGGCAAUCGCCGGACCCAAAGUCCGGAGGAAAGUCCGAACACCAGAGGGCAGGGUGCUCCAUAACGUGGAGUCGCGGCGACGCGAAGGAAAGUGCAACAGAGAGCAGACCGCCGUUUUUCAAGGGUCGAGGUUGGUUCCGGCAUUUGUCGGAGGCCGACGCCGUCUCUGGAAACGGUAAGGGUGAAACGGUGCGGUAAGAGCGCACCAGUUCUCCGGGCGACCGGAGAAGCUUGGUAAACCCCACCCGGUGCAAGACCAAAUAGGGGAGUGAUUGAGGACGGCCCGUCCGAGCUCCCGGGUAGGUUGCAGGAGGUGCCGGGCAACCGGCAUCCAUAGAGGAAUGAUUGCCGCCGUCCCGCGGCAGAAAUGCCUCGGGAUGGAACAGAAUUCGGCUUACGGGCGACUCCGACC